AUUGAACGCUGGCGGCAGGCCUAACACAUGCAAGUCGAGCGGAUGAAGGGAGCUUGCUCCUGGAUUCAGCGGCGGACGGGUGAGUAAUGCCUAGGAAUCUGCCUGGUAGUGGGGGAUAACGUCCGGAAACGGGCGCUAAUACCGCAUACAUCCUGAGGGAGAAAGUGGGGGAUCUUCGGACCUCACGCUAUCAGAUGAGCCUAGGUCGGAUUAGCUAGUUGGUGGGGUAAAGGCCUACCAAGGCGACGAUCCGUAACUGGUCUGAGAGGAUGAUCAGUCAAACUGGAACUGAGACACGGUCCAGACUCCUACGGGAGGCAGCAGUGGGGAAUAUUGGACAAUGGGCGAAAGCCUGAUCCAGCCAUGCCGCGUGUGUGAAGAAGGUCUUCGGAUUGUAAAGCACUUUAAGUUGGGAGGAAGGGCAGUAAGUUAAUACCUUGCUGUUUUGACGUUACCAACAGAAUAAGCACCGGCUAACUUCGUG
rnacentral:rRNA from 1 species